AGCGAACGCUGGCGGCAGGCCUAACACAUGCAAGUCGAACGAACUCUUCGGAGUUAGUGGCGGACGGGUGAGUAACACGUGGGAACGUGCCUUUAGGUUCGGAAUAACUCAGGGAAACUUGAGCUAAUACCGAAUGUGCCCUUAGGGGGAAAGAUUUAUCGCCUUUAGAGCGGCCCUCGUCUGAUUAGCUAGUUGGUGAGGUAACGGCUCACCAAGGCGACGAUCAGUAGCUGGUCUAGGAGGAUGGCCAGCCACACUGGGACUGAGACACGGCCCAGACUCCUACGGGAGGCAGCAGUGGUGAAUCUUGCGCAAUGGGCGAAAGCCUGACGCAGCCAUGCCGCGUGAAUGAUGAAGGUCUUAGGAUUGUAAAAUUCUUUCACCGGGGACGAUAAUGACGGUACCCGGAGAAGAAGCCCCGGCUAACUUCGUGCCAGCCGCCGCCGUAA
rnacentral:rRNA from 1 species